GAUGAACGCUGGCGGCGUGCUUAACACAUGCAAGUCGAACGAAGCAUUUAAGACAGAUUCCUUCGGUUUGAAGUCUUUUAUGACUGAGUGGCGGACGGGUGAGUAACGCGUGGGUAACCUGCCUCAUACAGGGGGAUAGCAGCUGGAAACGGCUGGUAAUACCGCAUAAGCGCACAGUACCACAUGGUACAGUGUGAAAAACUCCGGUGGUAUGAGAUGGACCCGCGUCUGAUUAGCUUGUUGGCGGGGUAACGGCCCACCAAGGCGACGAUCAGUAGCCGAACUGAGAGGGUGACCGGCCACAUUGGGACUGAGACACGGCCCAGACUCCUACGGGAGGCAGCAGUGGGGAAUAUUGCAAAAUGGAGGAAACUCUGAUGCAGCGACGCCGCGUGAGUGAAGAAGUAGUUCGCUAUGUAAAGCUCUAUAAGCAGGGAAGAUAGUGACGGUACCUGACGAAGAAGCUCCGGCUAAAUACGUG
rnacentral:rRNA from 1 species